AAUAGCAGUAAAUGAUUUCCAACUUCCUUAAAUCUUCAAUUGAACUGCCCAUCUGUCCACAGGACGUCACGCAUGAACAGAGGUUAACUUUCUGCACCCCUAAAAAAACAACAUUCAAUUUCUUAACACUAAUUGCUUUGCAGUAACCAAUAUGUAUCAUUAUAUGAAAUGCAUUAGCUAAAACAUGCCUGCCUUUUGGCUUUCAAGACCAGGAAUUGCUUUUUAAACCAAAAGGGAAAUGAAAAAGCCAUUUUCCAGCAAAUCUUUUCAGUAUUAACACUUGAAAUGACCACUCUCUUUGGGGUUUGACUGGCCAACAGCGGACUGACUUCCUCUGUGCUGUAUUGUAUAUGUGUUUGAAAUGGGACAACGUGUCUCUUUGGCCAGUCUAUGUGACCUCCCGUCUGCAGCUUGCACUUAACACUGGAGAUAACAUUCACUUUAUAGCACAACUCUGGCUCUUAGCGUGGUGAUAGACAUGAACAAACUGUUCCUCUGAAAUGGUCUGCCAUUUUCUAACGGCGCAUUUAUGCCUACUGCUUGUGCCCAGUGUGAAAUCUGCCUGGCCAGACAGAGUGGCUGUCUCCAGCCUGCCCCGAGACGAAUAUCUCUGAUAAUACAGCCCCGUCUACUGAAGAGGAAAACUGGGAAAUUAAAGGGAAAACAAGGCCAGUAAUCAAUAUGACUGGCAGCAGCCUCAGGAUGUGAAGCCAAUCACGAAGGGAAUCAUGUGGAGAUGCAGUGUUACUGUCCUGCUGUUAAUCGCGAAGCUGCUGCCAGACCCACACUGCGCACUGCAGAGCCUCUACAGCACAGCUGGCUCUAUUUAGGACAGCAGGACCUGCUGGGAAUGACGGUCUUGCAGAGACUGCAGCCAAUGAAACAGAAAGUUAUUCGCCAGACUGCAGGGCCUCUACAAAGACAGUGACACCAGGAGGACUGACGCAAGCUGCCCGGGGCCCCCUUGUGCCACGUGCGAGAUGCCCCACAUCCUGCCAGGGUCACCUCACAUGUUUGACAAGCCAAAUCUGCAGCGCAGAGGGGAGGCCCUACAAAAGAAUGGAAACCUCUGGCAUCUCCACUCUGACCUUGACAAGCGCUAAACGUGCAAAUAAUCCCAACCGGUGGAAUCGCCUUUCAGAAGAGUGUGUCGGACCGUCGUCCUCCCAGGAUACCUCAUCCGAAAAACCCCAUCUGCAGGAUUAACAGACCGUGCCGCAGACAAACAGAGCUAACCAAGAAAUAAAAAUAAGAAACCUUAUAUUAUCA